GGAAGUAAAAGUUGUAACAAGGUCUCCGUUGGUGAACCAGCGGAGGGAUCAUUACUGGAAUCGCAAGAUCCCACAACCCCUGUGAACCUACCGAAACGUUGCCUCGGCGGGCGCCCGGCCCCGCGCCGGGCGCUGAGCCCGCCGGCGGCCCCCUACUCUUGUCUCUGCAGCGUGGCAUCUCAGAGUCCCAGAAAACAAGUAAAAACUUUCAACAACGGAUCUCUUGGCUCUA
rnacentral:misc_RNA from 1 species